UAUCUACUUGGUCGUACGUCUAAUCGGAUAACCGUAGUGAUUCUAGAGCUAAUACGUGCGAAAAACCGAGACUGUUCGCCCUUCGGGGUCAUGGAAGAGGGGUAUUUAUUAGGUUUAAAAUCAAUACGGGGCAUCCCAAACUGCAUCAGAGUCUCUCGAGGCUUUGGUACGGGCUCCGGUCGGAGGGUGAUUCAUAAUAACUUGGCGAAUCGCAGGUCCUGGCGCCGGCGAUGACGCAAACGAGUUUCUGACCUAUCAACUGUCGACGGUGCGGCAGGGGCGCACCAUGGUAGCGACGGGUAACGGGGAAUUAGGGUUCGUUUCCGGAGAGGGAGCCCGAGAAACGGCUACCACUUCCAAGGAAGGCAGCAGGCGCGCAAAUUACCCAAUCUCGAUUCGAGGAGGUAGUGACAAGAAAUACCAAUGUAGGACCCUAUGGGUACUAUGUUUGGAAUGAGUACGAUCUAAACACCCUAACCAGGAACAAUUGGAGGGCAAGUCUGGUGCCAGCAGCCGCGGUAAUUCCAGCUCCAAUAGCGUAUGUUAAAGUUGCUGCAGUUAAAAAGCUCGUAGUUGGGUUUCGGAGCACACCGGUCACGACCGCACCCUAGGUGCGUGUUGGACCUCUUGUUCCUAUCUUUUGGCGAUGCGGCUCCGUCCAUUAACUUGGAAGCGCAGGCGUUCCGACUCGUUUACUUUGAAAAAAUUAGAGUGUUUAAAGCAGGCGUAACCCGGGCUCGAAUACAUUAGCAUGGGAUAAUGAAAGAUGGCUUUAGUCUUCGUUUUGUUGGUUUCCUAGUCCCGAGGGCAUGAUUGAUAGGGAUAGUUGGGGCCGCUCGUAUUCGAGUGUCAGAGGUGAAAUUCUAGGAUUAACUCAAGACGGACUAGUGCGAAAGCAUUCGGCAAGGAUGUUUUCGUUAAUCAAGAACGAAAGUUGGGGGAUCGAAGAUGAUCAGAUACCGUCGUAGUCUCAACCGUAAACCAUGUCGACCGAGGGCCCGGAAAUGUUACAUGGAUGACUCUCCCGGCACUCUGUGAGAAAUCACAAGUAUUUGGAUUCCGGGGGGAGUAUGGUCGCAAGGCUGAAACUUAAAGGAAUUGACGGAAGGGCACCACCAGGAAGUGGAACCUGCGGCUUAAUUUGACUCAACUCGGGGAAACUCACCAGGUCCGGACACGGCAAGGACUGACAGAUUGAUAGCUCUUUCUUGAUUCCGUGGAAAGUGGUGCAUGGCCGUUUUUAGUUGGUGGAGUGAUUUGUCUGGUUAAUUCCGUUAACGAACGAGACCUUAACCUAUUAAAUAGUUACGCGAACUUUGACCUUCGGGUCUUUGCGUUCGUGGUAGACUUCUUAGAGGGACCCUUCACCCCUAGUGAAAGGAAGUUUGAGGCAACAACAGGUCUGUGAUGCCCUUCGAUGUUCUGGGCCGCACGCGCGUUACAAUGACGUGUUCAACGAGCCACCUCCUCGCCCGAAGGGGCUUGGAAACCUUUUAAAGAUGUGUCGUGAUUGGGAUAGAUCAUUGCAAUUAUUGUUCUCG
rnacentral:rRNA from 1 species